rnacentral:lncRNA from 1 species
GGGCUUCUGUUUUAAAUGGUCCCUUGCUGACAGUGCCAUUUUCUUUCAGAGAGUGUGAAACUUCUAUGAAUUCUGGCUUAAAAAGUGACAAAAUGCCUGACAAAACAGCUUAAAGAAGAGUCUUGCUCCACCAAGCAACCAAUGGAAAGAGAUGCGGAGACCCACCACCAAAUGUUAGGUGGAGCUCAGGGAGUUUACGGAAGAGUUGGGGGAAGUAUUGAGGGACCCAAGGAGGACAGUGACUCCACAGGAAGACCAACAGAGUCCACUAACCUGGACCCUUAGAGGUUCCCAGAGACUGAAUCAUCAACCAGAGAGAGAGUACAGGCUGGACCUAGUCCUUCUACACAUAUGUAGCAGAUGAGCAGCUUGGUCUUCAUGUGGGUCCCUAAAUAACUGGAGCCACGGCUGUCCCUAAGCCUGCUGUCUGCCUCCCUGCCUGUGAAUCCCACAACCCUAAACGGGGUGUCUGGCUUCAAUAAGAGAGGAUGUGCCAGAUGUGAGGGGAGGCUUGGGGGAUGGUGAUAACUAGAAGAAGGCUUCCCUCUUCUUAAAGGAGAAGAAGAGGAAGAAAUGGGAGGAAAUCUGUAUGAGGGAAUACUGGAAGGAGAGGGGGACUGGUAUUGGAAUGUAAAGUGAAUGAAGAAAGAAAGAAAGAAAGAAAGAAAGAAAGAAA